rnacentral:rRNA from 1 species
AGGAAUCUGCCUGGUAGUGGGGGACAACGUUUCGAAAGGAACGCUAAUACCGCAUACGUCCUACGGGAGAAAGCAGGGGACCUUCGGGCCUUGCGCUAUCAGAUGAGCCUAGGUCGGAUUAGCUAGUUGGUGAAGUAAUGGCUCACCAAGGCGACGAUCCGUAACUGGUCUGAGAGGAUGAUCAGUCACACUGGAACUGAGACACGGUCCAGACUCCUACGGGAGGCAGCAGUGGGGAAUAUUGGACAAUGGGCGAAAGCCUGAUCCAGCCAUGCCGCGUGUGUGAAGAAGGUCUUCGGAUUGUAAAGCACUUUAAGUUGGGAGGAAGGGCAUUAACCUAAUACGUUAGUGUUUUGACGUUACCGACAGAAUAAGCACCGGCUAACUCUGUGCCAGCAGCCGCGGUAAUACAGAGGGUGCAAGCGUUAAUCGGAAUUACUGGGCGUAAAGCGCGCGUAGGUGGUUUGUUAAGUUGGAUGUGAAAGCCCCGGGCUCAACCUGGGAACUGCAUCCAAAACUGGCAAGCUAGAGUACAGUAGAGGGUGGUGGAAUUUCCUGU